UGGGGAAUAUUGGACAAUGGGGGGCAACCCUGAUCCAGCAAUGCCGCGUGUGUGAAGAAGGUCUUCGGAUUGUAAAGCACUUUCGACGGGGACGAUGAUGACGGUACCCGUAGAAGAAGCCCCGGCUAACUUCGUGCCAGCAGCCGCGGUAAUACGAAGGGGGCUAGCGUUGCUCGGAAUGACUGGGCGUAAAGGGCGUGUAGGCGGUUUACACAGUCAGAUGUGAAAUCCCCGGGCUUAACCUGGGAGCUGCAUUUGAUACGUGUAGACUAGAGUGUGAGAGAGGGUUGUGGAAUUCCCAGUGUAGAGGUGAAAUUCGUAGAUAUUGGGAAGAACACCGGUGGCGAAGGCGGCAACCUGGCUCAUGACUGACGCUGAGGCGCGAAAGCGUGGGGAGCAAACAGGAUUAGAUACCCUGGUAGUCCACGC
rnacentral:rRNA from 1 species